rnacentral:rRNA from 1 species
GACGAACGCUGGCGGCGUGCUUAACACAUGCAAGUCGAACGGAAAGGCCCUACUUUUGUGGGGUGCUCGAGUGGCGAACGGGUGAGUAACACGUGAGUAACCUGCCCUGUACUUUGGGAUAACUUCAGGAAACUGGGGCUAAUACCGGAUAGGAGCACCUGCUGCAUGGUGGGGGGUGGAAAGUUUCGGCGGUUGGGGAUGGACUCGGGGCUUAUCAGCUUGUUGGGGGGGUAGGGGCUUACCAAGGCUUUGGCGGGUAGCCGGCCUGAGGGGGUGACCGGCCAAAUUGGGACUGAGAUACGGUCCAGACUCCUACGGGAGGCAGCAGGGGGGAAUAUUGCACAAGGGGCGGAAGCCGGUUGAAGCAACGCCGGGUGCGGGAGGACGGCCUUCGGGUGUUAAACCGCUUUCGCCUGGGACAAAGCGUGAGUGACGGUAGUGGGUAAAGAAGCACCGGCUAACUACGUG